rnacentral:rRNA from 1 species
UACGUAGGGGGCAAGCGUUGUCCGGAAUCAUUGGGCGUAAAGCGCGUGUAGGCGGUCCGAUUAGUCGGCUGUGAAAGUCAAGGGCUCAACCCUUGAAUGCCGGUCGAUACUGUCGGACUAGAGUCCGGAAGAGGCAAGUGGAAUUCCCGGUGUAGCGGUGAAAUGCGUAGAUAUCACUUGGAACGCCAACGGUGAAAACAGCUCGCUGGGGGUAUCCUGACGCUGAGACACGAAAGCCAGGGGAGCAAACGGG